rnacentral:rRNA from 1 species
UACGUAGGGGGCGAGCGUUGUCCGAAUUUACUGGGCGUAAAGCGCACGUAGGCGGCUUGUCAAGUCCGGUGUGAAAUCCCAGAGCUCAACUUUGGAACUGCAUUGGAAACUGGCAGGCUUGAGUGCAGGAGAGGAGAGUGGAAUUCCUGGUGUAGCGGUGAAAUGCGUAGAUAUCAGGAGGAACACCCGUGGCGAAGGCGGCUCUCUGGUCUGUAACUGACGCUGAGGUGCGAAAGCUAGGGGAGCGAACGGG